rnacentral:lncRNA from 1 species
GUAACAUGUUUCUUGUCUAAGGUUGAAGAUGCUCCCAAGAAGCUUCUGAAAAUGUGAUUCAGUUAAAUAACUGUCCUUACUGGUCUUCUGCCAGUCUACUACCUGCUCUUCCUCCAUAGAGCAGAUGAAGAUUGAAGUACAAACCCACAGGCCUCAAACAUGUCAGACUUUCCUAUGUAGCCUAGAGCUCCUCUGCUUAUUCAGAUCUAGUGAGAUUUAGAAGAAAGUUGUGAAUGUCCCUUCUAGGAACACCACGAGCCAUAAUCAACUUCUUCAAGAGUUGGACUGUUCUGAUUGCUGCUUUCACUUUCCCAUCCAUUAUAGCAGCCACACAUACCUUUCCUUUGCCACCAACUGGCCCCUGCUACCCCAUGAAGAUACAGUGACUUCAGCUUCAACUUUGAGCCCCUUAUUCUGUUUUGUGAUAGUCCAAUUCUGCACUCUUUGUUAACAUGUUAGGCCAAGUCCUUUGCUAACCUAUGGAAUUGUACACUUAGCCUCUGGCUGCUGGAACAGGAAAUCUCAACAAGGUGUUUCCAUCCUGGUCCUGUG